CCUACGGGAGGCUGCAGUGGGGAAUAUUGGACAAUGGGCGAAAGCCUGAUCCAGCCAUGCCGCGUGUGUGAAGAAGGCCUUCGGGUUGUAAAGCACUUUCAGUGGGGAAGAAAGCCUUGGGGCUAAUACCCUCGAGGAAGGACAUCACCCACAGAAGAAGCACCGGCUACUCCGUGCCAGCAGCCGCGGUAAUACGGAGGGUGCGAGCGUUAAUCGGAAUUACUGGGCGUAAAGCGCGCGUAGGCGGUCUGAUAAGCCGGUUGUGAAAGCCCCGGGCUCAACCUGGGAACGGCAUCCGGAACUGUCAGGCUAGAGUGCAGGAGAGGAAGGUAGAAUUCCCGGUGUAGCGGUGAAAUGCGUAGAGAUCGGGAGGAAUACCAGUGGCGAAGGCGGCCUUCUGGACUGACACUGACGCUGAGGUGCGAAAGCGUGGGUAGCAAACAGGAUUAGAUACCCGAGUAGUC
rnacentral:rRNA from 1 species